AUCCUCCUGUUCAGCUCCCUCGCGCGCAGCGUAGUGAUGCCGGAGCCGGAAUGACAUCAUAUUCCAGCCCCGGCAUCACUGCGGUGAGUGUGAGGGAGCUGAACAGGAGGAUUAGUGC